rnacentral:rRNA from 1 species
CAGCCGCCACGGGAAUACGUAGGUGGCAAGCGUUGUCCGGAAUUAUUGGGCGUAAAGGGCUCGCAGGCGGUUUCUUAAGUCUGAUGUGAAAGCCCCCGGCUCAACCGGGGAGGGUCAUUGGAAACUGGGAAACUUGAGUGCAGAAGAGGAGAGUGGAAUUCCACGUGUAGCGGUGAAAUGCGUAGAGAUGUGGAGGAACACCAGUGGCGAAGGCGACUCUCUGGUCUGUAACUGACGCUGAGGAGUGAAAGCGUGGGGAGCGAACAGGAUUAGAUACCCGCGUAGUCCCUGUCUCUUAUAC